CAAAACCAUCAAGCCCCCGGCUUGGCCUUGAGUCUACAAAACGCCCCUGCUGUGGGCGUUGGCUCCAAAAGUUUUUCGGCGGUGGUGCCGUGCCACGGGCGUAUCGAGAACCCCCAAAAAGUUCCACGUCCCGGCGAGCGCGGCGGCUGCCCGCCCCCAAAGACCAUCUUAUCCAAA
rnacentral:misc_RNA from 1 species